GGUUGCCUGUAAAUUUCACACUUUGAGUCCAUGUAAUGCUUGUGUCCAUGCCCAAGCAUGGAACCAACUUUCAAGGAUAUGAAAUUUUCAGUACUAUAGAUGAAGCUGCUCAUAAAACUAACAGAAACUACCACUAAAGUGGUUCACAUUUCCCAUAUUCCAAUAAUUUUAUUAAGCAAUUCUCUAAUCAAUAACUUAAAUUCUUUCAUAAGCCGACUAUUAUAAUCUCACCAUACCAAAGAACAGCAUGACUUCUAUGUGCAUUAUACUGUUUAACACUUCUCCACCAAUCUUUUUUAGGCACCUCAUACAUUACCCAUACCAUGGUGCUGCAAGGAAGACUAAAAACUAUACUAAUAGACGUGUGAUCAGUUGAACAUUUAAUGUUGACUGGAAAUUUUAUGGAAUAAAGACUAAAUUAAUCUGAGUUAUUUUUUAAUGUCUAGAUAGACCCUAAAAUUUUUACUUGGCCCGAUUAGCACAAAGCGUCUAUUUUACGGUCAUUUUGACCCGAUUAAUGACAAGGUCGAGUGUCAAAUACAAGCACAAGUGAAUUAAUUAGAACGAAUCAUUAAUAUUAACAGCUGGAUUUUAAGGAAAAAUGCUAUUCUUAA
rnacentral:misc_RNA from 1 species